AACCGGGGAGGGUCAUUGGAAACUGGGAGACUUGAGUGCAGAAGAGGAGAGUGGAAUUCCAUGUGUAGCGGUGAAAUGCGUAGAUAUAUGGAGGAACACCAGUGGCGAAGGCGGCUCUCUGGUCUGUAACUGACGCUGAGGCUCGAAAGCGUGGGGAGCAAACAGGAUUAGAUACCCUGGUAGUCCACGCCGUAAACGAUGAGUGCUAAGUGUUGGAGGGUUUCCGCCCUUCAAUGCUGCAGCAUACGCAUUAAUCACUCCCCCUGGGGAGUACGACCGCACGGUUGAAACUCAAAGGAAUUGACGGGCGCCCGCACUAGCGUCUCCAACAUGUGCGAUGAAUUCUCCAC
rnacentral:rRNA from 1 species